CUCACAUUUUGAAUUAAGGUUUCUAUUUUUAACAUUUAUUGUUCAUUACAGAGUGAUGAUAGCUCUUCCUGGCUGAUCCCCUCACAAAUCCCGAAGCUCUCCACUACCUGCUCAAACGCAUCAGGAGAGUGAGUCACAUGGCGUCAUCUCCCUUUGUGAACCAGGGUGGACUGUCGCAUGUUGACAAUAAC
ensembl:lncRNA